rnacentral:rRNA from 1 species
GUAGGGCGGGACACGUGGUAUCCUGUCUGAAUAUGGGGGGACCAUCCUCCAAGGCUAAAUACUCCUGACUGACCGAUAGUGAACCAGUACCGUGAGGGAAAGGCGAAAAGAACCCCGGCGAGGGGAGUGAAAAAGAACCUGAAACCGUGUACGUACAAGCAGUGGGAGCACGCUUAGGCGUGUGACUGCGUACCUUUUGUAUAAUGGGUCAGCGACUUAUAUUCUGUAGCAAGGUUAACCGAAUAGGGGAGCCGAAGGGAAACCGAGUCUUAACUGGGCGUUAAGUUGCAGGGUAUAGACCCGAAACCCGGUGAUCUAGCCAUGGGCAGGUUGAAGGUUGGGUAACACUAACUGGAGGACCGAACCGACUAAUGUUGAAAAAUUAGCGGAUGACUUGUGGCUGGGGGUGAAAGGCCAAUCAAACCGGGAGAUAGCUGGUUCUCCCCGAAAGCUAUUUAGGUAGCGCCUCGUGAAUUCAUCUCCGGGGGUAGAGCACUGUUUCGGCAAGGGGGUCAUCCCGACUUACCAACCCGAUGCAAACUGCGAAUACCGGAGAAUGUUAUCACGGGAGACACACGGCGGGUGCUAACGUCCGUCGUGAAGAGGGAAACAACCCAGACCGCCAGCUAAGGUCCCAAAGUCAUGGUUAAGUGGGAAACGAUGUGGGAAGGCCCAGACAGCCAGGAUGUUGGCUUAGAAGCAGCCAUCAUUUAAAGAAAGCGUAAUAGCUCACUGGUCGAGUCGGCCUGCGCGGAAGAUGUAACGGGGCUAAACCAU